AUACGGAGGGUGCAAGCGUUAAUCGGAAUUACUGGGCGUAAAGCGUACGUAGGCGGUUCGUUAAGUUAGAUGUGAAAGCCCCGGGCUUAACCUGGGUACUGCAUUUAAAACUGGCGGACUAGAGUUGAGUAGAGGGGAGUGGAAUUUCAGGUGUAGCGGUGAAAUGCGUAGAGAUCUGAGGGAACACCAGUGGCGAAGGCGACUCCCUGGACUCGAACUGACGCUGAGGUACGAAAGCGUGGGUAGCAAACGGGAUUAGAAACCCUAGUAGUCC
rnacentral:rRNA from 1 species